GGAGGCGUGGCAGAGCGGUAAUGCAGCCGGUUGGAAGCCGGUGACGUGUCAAAGCGUCCGGGGGUUCGAUUCCCUCCGCCUCCGC
rnacentral:tRNA from 1 species